CCAAUAGCGUAUAUUAAAGUUGUUGCAGUUAAAAAGCUCGUAGUUGAACUUCGGGGUUUACCCAUUGGUCAGGUUUAAUUAUCUGUACUGGUGAGAUAAGUCUCUACCUUCUGAGGAACUUCCAUGCCAUUUAUUUUGGUGUGGGAGGAAAUCAGGACUGUUACUUUGAAAAAAUUAGAGUGUUUAAAGCAGGCUAACGUCUGAAUACAUUAGCAUGGAAUAAUGAAAUAGGACGGACUGAUUCUAUUUCGUUGGUUUCUAGGAUCACCGUAAUGAUUAAUAGGGAUAGUUGGGGGCAUUAGUAUUCAAUUGUCAGAGGUGAAAUUCUUGGAUUUAUUGAAGACUAACUACUGCGAAAGCAUUUGCCAAGGAUGUUUUCAUUAAUCAAGAACGAAAGUUAGGGGAUCGAAGACGAUCAGAUACCGUCGUAGUCUUAACCAUAAACUAUGCCGACUAGGGAUCGGACGAAGUUAAUUUUAUAAUGACGCGUUCGGCACCUUACG
rnacentral:rRNA from 1 species